rfam:Arabidopsis thaliana chromosome 3, complete sequence.
GGCAUGGACGAUCUGAAUCUCUGAGAUUGUAAACGUCGUUGUAUGAAAAUCUACAUUUAAGAUGUUGUUCGUUAGAGGAGAUCUCAUCUUUGCGUAGAAAGAGAGAAGCA